rnacentral:rRNA from 1 species
GUGGGAGGCUUUGAAGUGUGGACGCCAGUCUGCAUGGAGCCGACCUUGAAAUACCACCCUUUAAUGUUUGAUGUUCUAACGUUGACCCGUGAUCCGGGUUGCGGACAGUGUCUGGUGGGUAGUUUGACUGGGGCGGUCUCCUCCUAAAGAGUAACGGAGGAGCACGAAGGUUGGCUAAUCCUGGUCGGACAUCAGGAGGUUAGUGCAAUGGCAUAAGCCAGCUUGACUGCGAGCGUGACGGCGCGAGCAGGUGCGAAAGCAGGUCAUAGUGAUCCGGUGGUUCUGAAUGGAAGGGCCAUCGCUCAACGGAUAAAAGGUACUCCGGGGAUAACAGGCUGAUACCGCCCAAGAGUUCAUAUCGACGGCGGUGUUUGGCACCUCGAUGUCGGCUCAUCACAUCCUGGGGCUGAAGUAGGUCCCAAGGGUAUGGCUGUUCGCCAUUUAAAGUGGUACGCGAGCUGGGUUUAGAACGUCGUGAGACAGUUCGGUCCCUAUCUGCCGUGGGCGCUGGAGAACUGAGGGGGGCUGCUCCUAGUACGAGAGGACCGGAGUGGACGCAUCACUGGUGUUCGGGUUGUCAUGCCAAUGGCACUGCCCGGUAGCUAAAUGCGGAAGAGAUAAGUGCUGAAAGCAUCUAAGCACGAAACUUGCCCCGAGAUGAGUUCUCCCUGACUCCUUGAGAGUCCUGAAGGAACGUUGAAG